rnacentral:snRNA from 1 species
GGGUGUGGGGGUGGUCUCACUGUGGCAUCGGUCGCCUCCUUGAUCACCAGGGUUGCCUCAGGGACCCCGGCUGGUGUCCCCUUCCUCCCUCAGAGCUCCCUGUAUAGUCUCCCAAAGCUGCAUGCUCAAAGGGGAGGGUAUACAGGUCCCCUCUGGGACCUCCAGGCAAGCUCUUGA